AUGGCCAUGGAGGCGGUGGUCUCAACUUCUUUGAGCGUCAUCAUGUCCUCUCUUGUGAAGUUGGUCGUCAACAAGUGGUGCGUGGAAAAGACCAUGAAGGACGAGCUGACGAACCUCUACGACGAGCUUAUGAACAUGGACGCUUUCCUUGAGGAUGUCUCCAGCGUGCCGCCGGAUCAGCUCGAGUCGCAGGUGAAGCUCAGGGCCCGCGAGGUCAGGGAGCUGUCGCAUGCCAUCGGGACACACCUCCACUCCUUCAUGGCACGCAUCGAGUCAACCAAGGGCGCCCUCCUUCCUAGCGUGAGCAAGGUGAACAUUCAGCAAGAGAUGGACAGAUACGUCAAAGAAAUCAUGAAGAAGGUGGAGAAGGUGAGUAAACGGUAUGGCCCUUAUCCUUGUAAGAGUGCCCUGGAAAGUACUUCCUCAUUGGAAGUCAGCACACGUAUGUUUACCACGGACACUAGGGAAUCUAACCAUGUUGGCCUAGAAGGGGCAAUUGCCGAGCUAACCAAGAAGCUGUCCAAGAGUGAUCAUGUCUCCAUUGUCGGGAUGGGGGGGAUGGGCAAGACCACCCUUGCUCGAGCAGUCUACGACAAGAUGAAAGGUGAUUUUGAUUGCGGAGCUUUUGUUCCCAUCGGUCAGAGAGCCGACAUGAAGAGGGUUCUGAUGUACAUCUUCGACGGACUUCACAUGGAGAUCUAUGGUCACGAACCAGACCAACACCAGCUAACCAACCAGCUGCAAAGUUUCCUGGUGGAUAAGAGGUGUUUAAUUGUCAUCGAUGAUAUAUGGGAUAAGGAAACAUGGAACUUUGUUGAACUUUUUUUUAAGGGUUGUGCUGGAAUUAAAAUCAUCACCACCACUCGUAACCGAAAUAUUGUCAAAGGAGUUGGUGUCACAGUGUACACAAUGAAACCACUUUCCCCUGCCGACUCGAAAGAGUUGCUCCGAACCAAAGCUCAAGUUAAAAGCCAUGAUGCAGAAUUUGAUACACUGUCAGAUCAAGUUUUGCGUAAAUGUGGUGGUGUGCCAAUAGCUAUCACUAUGAUAGGUGUGUUGCUUGCAGAACAUCAAAGCAAAGAGUGGCAUGGGGUGUAUGAUUCUAUUGGUUUUGAUGAGCACAAGGAGGACGGGGCUUUCCAGCACAUAAGGAAGGUGUUGUCUUAUAGCUAUUAUGCUCUACCCUAUAAUAUCAAGAGAUGCUUUUUGUACCUAAGCCUGUUCCCAGAAGACCACUGGAUCGAGAAGAAUAUGCUGAUAUGGAGGUGGGUUGCAGAAGGCCUUGUCCCUGAGCGGUCAUUUGAGAUUGGGGAGACCUAUUUCAAGGAGCUAAUGGAUAGGUGCAUGAUCCAGUGGGCAGUGAGCCCUCAUGACCCCAGCCAAGGUGGUUGCCGUGUCCACAUUUUGAUGCUUCGCGUCAUCCGUGACCUGUCAAGCAGCGAGAAUUUCUCCACCAUGCUAGGCCUAGACAUGAAGCAGGAGAGCAUAUCCAGAACCAUACCCAUUCAUAGAUUAGCCAUCCACGAAGGCGAAGCAAUGGUGGGUCGAAGUCAAAACAGUAGACUGCUGGAAGUGAGGGAGGUGCUGUCAUUGUAUGCCAGCACAUGCCCCGGCAGCAGCUUGCCACCACUCCGGGAGUUUGAAAACUUGCGUGUAAUGGAUCUGGAGAGAUGUGAUUUAUCCUUGAGAGAUUCCAAUCUGGAGCAGCUCGGCAGAUUGAAAGUGCUCAAGUAUGUUGGGCUUGUCGGCAUAUACAUGGCUGAGCUCCCAAGGAGAAUAGGACGCCUCAAGCUACUAGAGAUCCUCGACGUGACGGCAACUGGCAUCAGAGAGCUGCCACCGUUCGUCGAGGAGCUAAGGAAGCUUAGGUGCCUGCGUGCUGGCAAGGGCACAAGGAUGAUGGGUCGGGUAGGGAUGCUGACGUGCCUGGAAGAGUUGUGGCUGCACUCGGCGGACAAGUCCCCGGACUUCGCCACCGAGCUCCAGAAGCUGAGCGAGAUGCGGGUGCUGGUGAUCCACUUGGACGAGGUGGACGAGGGCAUGCAGAAGAAGCUGGUGGUGUCCCUUCAUAAACUGAGGAAGCUCCAGGUCCUGCAGGUCUGGUCCGACGCAGAGGAGAAGGCACGCCUCGGCAGCCACGAUUGGGAAGGCAGCGUGCCAUCCUCGCAGCUCCGGCAGCUGCUCCUCUUGGGGAUCAUCCUACCCAGGCCGAUGCCGUGGAUCCACCACUCGCGUGUCCCCAAACUCUCCAAGCUGGUGCUGCAGGUGGAGACCCUGGAGGUGCAACAUGUGCAGAUCCUCGGGCAGAUGCCAUCCCUCCGCUCCCUCUGCCUCCACAUCCACUGCUACGGCAACCGUUUGCUGUACACCGCCGGCAAGCACGAGUUCAUGGUGCUGGCAUACCUCUACGUAACCAACAUAGAGCUGAUAUGUGGAGAGGGAGCGCUUCCAAGGAUUCAGGAGCUGGAGGUUGGCGGAAUCAGGGUGGGGACGGACGUUGGUCUGCGGGGGAACAUGCCUCUCCUUGAGAGGGUCAGCUACCAUCUCGACUACUUGGGUUGCAGCCCCGUGGAGGUGCACAAGGCAGAAGAAGAUCUAAGGCAGGCGAGCCAAGCCCACCCCAACAGUCCAGUCUUCACCAUAAAGAGAUGGGACGGCAUCGAUGUAUGUUCCAUUUCAUUUCAGGGACCGAGCUGGAGUGAUUCUGAAUAUGAAGGACAAGCCUCUACCGAUAGCGUGUCAGCUUGUCUCAACGACCAUUUUACAGACAAUGUCGAGCCAGCGCCACCUAAGGUCGACACCGCCAGUGUACUCUCCAUGCCUAACAACUUGGAUGGAGCCAACCUUUUGUCGGAAGAAGCUGCCAAGUUAACAAUCACCCAAGCUGGGUAUUGCUACAUCACCCAAGCUGGCUACCUAGAUUGCAGAGACACUACCGCUGGGGAAAGGUUACACAAUGCUGAAGCCAUGGAACCAACAAGUCUAAAGAUGGAAUUAUUAAGAAAAAUCACGAAGCAAUUCGCCAAGGAGCGAGUACUUGGUCAAGGUGCAUAUGGAAAAGUUUACAGGGGUGUGUGCGAUGACGGACAAGUGGUUGCUGUGAAGCUGCUCUAUAAUCUAAAGCAAACAAUUGAUGAUGAGCAAUUCAUACGUGAGUUUAAAAACCUUAUGGUGCUAAAGCAUCCGAACAUCGUAAGGUUAGUUGGCUACUGCUACGAAACACAACGUCAACAUGCGGACUUUGAAGGAACCAUUGUUUUUGCUAAAACAACACACAAAGCACUUUGCUUCGAGUAUAUGCCCGAGGGGAGCCUUCGUAAGCAUCUGUCCGAUGAAUCCAAUGGACUUGAUUGGCAAACACGUUACAAAAUUAUCAAAGGUGCAUGUGAAGGUUUAAGAUACCUUCAUGAAGAAUUGGGUAAACCCUUUUAUCAUCUGGACAUAAAACCAGACAAUAUACUUCUAGAUGAAACCAUGGCCCCGAAACUUGCAGAUUUUGGUUUGUCCAAGUUCUACGGCGAAGAACAAACCAGGAUGACACAAAGUCCCAUUGGAACUAUUGGAUACACGCCGCCGGAAUACUUAUUUGGAAGAAAGGUCUCAAAGAAGUUUGACAUAUUUAGCCUGGGUGUUGUAAUAACAAAGAUAAUUGCAGGGCCUAGCGACCACGACACACAUGAUGAAAUGCAAAAGGAGUUUCUUGAUCAACUUUACAUUUGGAUUACAAAAGUACAAGGAAAUUGGAUAAAAAGGUUACAGACUCCAUGGAGUUCUCCUGAGCAACUAGAAGCACAAUGCCAACAAGUGAAAAGAUGCACUGAGAUUGCAUUGAGCUGCAUGGACAUGGAUUGGCGCAGAAGGCCAAGCAUAGUGAAUAUCCUAGAUGAACUCAAUGAGACUGAAAAAUGCAUUGAAAAGGCUACUAAUUAUGAACAAGAUCCAUCACCACCAAUUGCUUCCACUUCAAGCGUUGUUCAACCUGCAGCAUCACCUCCACCAACCACACCAUUUCCACCACCAUGUAUCAUUGCCACCUUCUCAGAGGGACCGAGCUGGAGUGGUUCUGAAUAUGAAGGACAAGUCUCUAGCGACAGCCUGUCAGCUUGUCUCAGUAACCAGUGUACAACCAGUGGAGAGCCACAUCCACCUCGGGUCGACACCGCCGGCAGUACAGUGGGUCAUCUUCCCUCCGAUGGCUAUUGCGACACCCCACAAGCUGGCUACCUAGAUUGCAGCAGGCACACCACCACCGGAGAAAGGAAACCCUGUGAAGCCAUGGAGCCCACAAGUCUACCGAUGAAAUUAUUACGAAAAAUCACAAAUAAUUUCUCCAAGGAGCGACUACUUGGUGAAGGUGGAUAUGGAAAAGUUUAUAUGGGUGUGCAUGACGACGGACAAGAGAUUGCUGUCAAGCUGCUCAAUGAUAGCUUGCAAACAAUUGAUGAUGAAAAAUUCACACGUGAGUUUCAUAACCUUAUGAUGCUAAAGCAUCCAAACACUGUACGGUUAGUUGGCUACUGCUAUGAAACACAACAUCAACCUAUGGACUUCCAAGGAAGAUUUGCUUUUGGUGAAAGAAGACACAAAGCACUUUGCUUCGAGUAUAUGCCUCAGGGGAGCCUUCACGAGCGUCUUUCUGAUAAAUGUAAUGUACUUGAUUGGCAAACACGUUACAAAAUUAUCAAAGGGACUUGUGAAGGUCUAAAAUACCUUCAUGAAGGAUUGGACAAACCAUUUUACCAUCUGGACCUAAAAUUGGGCAAUAUACUUCUAGAUGAAAACAUGGCUCCAAAACUUGCCGGUUUCGGUAUGUCCAAGCUCUUCAACGAAGAACAAACCUGCAGGGUGACGCAAUAUUUACGUGCAGGAACUAUUGGAUACAUGCCACCGGAAUACAUAAAUGGAGGCACGGUCUCAAAGAAGUUUGACAUAUUCAGCUUGGGUGUUGUCAUGAACAAGAUAAUUGCAGGGCCUAGCGGCCACACCAAAUGUGCUGAAAUGCAGCAUCAGGAGUUUCUUGAUCAAGUAGAAGGAAAUUGGAGAAAAAGUUUGAAAGAAACAUGGAGUUCUCCCAAGCUACUAGACGCACAAUGCCGGCAAGUGAAAAUAUGCACUGAGAUUGCACUGAGUUGCAUGAAGACGGAUAGGCACGAAAGGCCAAGUAUAGUGGAUAUCAUAAACAACCUUAACGAGACAGAAACUUUUAUUGAAAAGGUUAGCAAUUGUGAACAAGAUCCAUCACUGCUGACUUCCACUUCAAAUAGUGUUCAACCUGCAGCAUCACCUCCACCUUCAACACAAUCUCCACCACCUUCUCCAACCAGUGGUGGAGGCAGGAAUAGUAAAUUUAUNNNNNNNNNNNNNNNNNNNNNNNNNNNNNNNNNNNNNNNNNNNUUAACGAAACAUAACAAAAAGUUUACUGGUCACGCCCAAAAUGCAAAGAAGUGGCUAAUGUCGGGGCGGGCUGGGGACCCUGUUGAUCCCCCCUGCCUCCGCCACUGUCUCCAACACCAUCUGCCAUUGCCAUGUUCUCCAACGUUCUGA
rnacentral:rRNA from 1 species